GAUGAACGCUAGCUACAGGCUUAACACAUGCAAGUCGAGGGGAAACGACAUCGAAAGCUUGCUUUUGAUGGGCGUCGACCGGCGCACGGGUGAGUAACGCGUAUCCAACCUGCCCAUCACUUGGGGAUAACCUUGCGAAAGUAAGACUAAUACCCAAUGAUAUCUCUAGAAGACAUCUGAAAGAGAUUAAAGAUUUAUCGGUGAUGGAUGGGGAUGCGUCUGAUUAGCCUGUUGGCGGGGUAACGGCCCACCAAGGCAACGAUCAGUAGGGGUUCUGAGAGGAAGGUCCCCCACAAUGGAACUGAGACACGGUCCAAACUCCUACGGGAGGCAGCAGUGAGGAAUAUUGGUCAAUGGGCGAGAGCCUGAACCAGCCAAGUAGCGUGCAGGAAGACGGCCCUAGGGGUUGUAAACUGCUUUUAUAAGGGAAUAAAGUGAGAGUCGUGACUCUUUUUGUAUGUACCUUAUGAAUAAGGACCGGCUAAUUCCGUG
rnacentral:rRNA from 1 species